rnacentral:lncRNA from 1 species
AUCCGUCAUAUACCUGACUUAAUUAGCUUGAGUCCAAUCAUGAAUUCCAUAAAUUUUUUUUUCAUAAUCACAUUGUUGUUGCCAUAGACUUAUGGACUUAGCCUUUUAGGUUGCAUAGGACUACUCCUCAACUACUAAGAUCGAUAGAUCUUCUAUAAGUGCACUCCUACUCCCAUAGCAAACCUACUACAGUCAACGUCCACUGUAAGGAUCUAAAUAGAUAGGGAUCAUAUUUCUAUGUAGUCAAACUAUAGCAACUCUAUUGUGAGUAGUCGAGGCACCAU